rnacentral:rRNA from 1 species
AUUGAACGCUGGCGGCAUGCUUUACACAUGCAAGUCGAACGGUAACAGGGAGCUUGCUCCGCUGACGAGUGGCGAACGGGUGAGUAAUGCAUCGGAACAUGCCCAGUCAUGGGGGAUAACUACGCGAAAGCGUAGCUAAUACCGCAUACGCCCUGAGGGGGGAAAGUGGGGGGAUCUUAGGACCUCACGUGAUUGGAGUGGCCGAUGUCAGAUUAGCUAGUUGGUGAGGUAAAGGCUCACCAAGGCGACGAUCUGUAGCGGGUCUGAGAGGAUGAUCCGCCACACUGGGACUGAGACACGGCCCAGACUCCUACGGGAGGCAGCAGUGGGGAAUAUUGGACAAUGGGCGAAAGCCUGAUCCAGCAAUGCCGCGUGUGUGAAGAAGGCCUGAGGGUUGUAAAGCACUUUCAAUCGUGAAGAAAAGUUGCAGGCUAAUACCCUGUGACCUUGACGUUAACGAUACAAGAAGCACCGGCUAACC